UACGGGGGGUGCAAGCGUUGUCCGGAAUGAUUGGGCGUAAAGCAUCUGUAGGUGGUUUUUAAAGUCGACUGUUAAAGCCCAGGGCUUAACUUUGGAUAAGCGGUCGAGUACUUAAGGACUUGAGUUUGGUAGGGGUAGAGGGAAUUCCUAGUGGAGCGGUGAAAUGCACAGAGAUUAGGAAGAACACCGAAGGCGAAAGCACUCUACUGGGCCAUAACUGACACUGAGAGAUGAAAGUUGGGGGAGCGAAAAGG
rnacentral:rRNA from 1 species